rnacentral:lncRNA from 1 species
AACGAGUCAAAACAAACUGAAAUAAAGAGAGAUUGUUACUAAUGUCCAGUGGCCUUAUUACAUAAGUAAAGCAGUAAAAAUCCUAACUACAUUGGUCCCAUAAGGACCUUCCCCAGAUUCGAUAUCUUUGCUUCCCUCGUAAAGCUGUAUCAACUCGCGCAGUCCCAGCAACAAGUAAGCCUCAGCCAAGUGCCCACCUUUGUUACCUUCAGCUUCCUGACAGUCGUUGAUCCUUUUCAUAAAUUUGCAUUCCAGCUCCACUAGACCUUGCUCCAAGUACCCUAAGCAGUUGUUUGCGUGGACAGCCAUGUCAUUCCACUCAUUGAUUAGUUUCUCUUGGGCCUCUUGUAUUUCCCGAUGCUCACUUUCGCACUCUCGCAUCCGUUUGCGUAGCUUAUUGUACUUAACCUUUGCUGCAGCCUUCUCAUCAAUAACGAU